AGAUCAUGUUGAGGACAAUUUCUAAGAAAUUCCUUGUAUCUUUCCCAUGCUUCAUACUACGAUUCUCCGACUUCUAGUUGAAAAUUAGCAAUCCUUUUCUUUAUCU